rnacentral:snoRNA from 1 species
AUCCCAUGAUGAGGACGUUUGAGUAUGUAGUCUUAAAAGCGCUCCAAAGCUUCUAGGAUUGUCUCAUCAUGUUGUUGCUGGAAACUUAAUAUCUUUCCACAAAGAGC